rnacentral:rRNA from 1 species
GGGUUGUGAGGUUAAGCGACUAAGCGUACACGGUGGAUGCCCUGGCAGUCAGAGGCGAUGAAGGACGUGCUAAUCUGCGAUAAGCGUCGGUAAGGUGAUAUGAACCGUUAUAACCGGCGAUUUCCGAAUGGGGAAACCCAGUGUGUUUCGACACACUAUCAUUAACUGAAUCCAUAGGUUAAUGAGGCGAACCGGGGGAACUGAAACAUCUAAGUACCCCGAGGAAAAGAAAUCAACCGAGAUUCCCCCAGUAGCGGCGAGCGAACGGGGAGCAGCCCAGAGCCUGAAUCAGUGUGUGUGUUAGUGGAAGCGUCUGGAAAGGCGCGCGAUACAGGGUGACAGCCCCGUACACAAAAAUGCACAUGCUGUGAGCUCGAUGAGUAGGGCGGGACACGUGGUAUCCUGUCUGAAUAUGGGGGGACCAUCCUCCAAGGCUAAAUACUCCUGACUGACCGAUAGUGAACCAGUACCGUGAGGGAAAGGCGAAAAGAACCCCGGCGAGGGGAGUGAAAAAGAACCUGAAACCGUGUACGUACAAGCAGUGGGAGCACGCUUAGGCGUGUGACUGCGUACCUUUUGUAUAAUGGGUCAGCGACUUAUAUUCUGUAGCAAGGUUAACCGAAUAGGGGAGCCGAAGGGAAACCGAGUCUUAACUGGGCGUUAAGUUGCAGGGUAUAGACCCGAAACCCGGUGAUCUAGCCAUGGGCAGGUUGAAGGUUGGGUAACACUAACUGGAGGACCGAACCGACUAAUGUUGAAAAAUUAGCGGAUGACUUGUGGCUGGGGGUGAAAGGCCAAUCAAACCGGGAGAUAGCUGGUUCUCCCCGAAAGCUAUUUAGGUAGCGCCUCGUGAAUUCAUCUCCGGGGGUAGAGCACUGUUUCGGCAAGGGGGUCAUCCCGACUUACCAACCCGAUGCAAACUGCGAAUACCGGAGAAUGUUAUCACGGGAGACACACGGCGGGUGCUAACGUCCGUCGUGAAGAGGGAAACAACCCAGACCGCCAGCUAAGGUCCCAAAGUCAUGGUUAAGUGGGAAACGAUGUGGGAAGGCCCAGACAGCCAGGAUGUUGGCUUAGAAGCAGCCAUCAUUUAAAGAAAGCGUAAUAGCUCACUGGUCGAGUCGGCCUGCGCGGAAGAUGUAACGGGGCUAAACCAUGCACCGAAGCUGCGGCAGCGACGCUUAUGCGUUGUUGGGUAGGGGAGCGUUCUGUAAGCCUGUGAAGGUGUACUGUGAGGUAUGCUGGAGGUAUCAGAAGUGCGAAUGCUGACAUAAGUAACGAUAAAGCGGGUGAAAAGCCCGCUCGCCGGAAGACCAAGGGUUCCUGUCCAACGUUAAUCGGGGCAGGGUGAGUCGACCCCUAAGGCGAGGCCGAAAGGCGUAGUCGAUGGGAAACAGGUUAAUAUUCCUGUACUUGGUGUUACUGCGAAGGGGGGACGGAGAAGGCUAUGUUGGCCGGGCGACGGUUGUCCCGGUUUAAGCGUGUAGGCUGGUUUUCCAGGCAAAUCCGGAAAAUCAAGGCUGAGGCGUGAUGACGAGGCACUACGGUGCUGAAGCAACAAAUGCCCUGCUUCCAGGAAAAGCCUCUAAGCAUCAGGUAACAUCAAAUCGUACCCCAAACCGACACAGGUGGUCAGGUAGAGAAUACCAAGGCGCUUGAGAGAACUCGGGUGAAGGAACUAGGCAAAAUGGUGCCGUAACUUCGGGAGAAGGCACGCUGAUAUGUAGGUGAAGUCCCUCGCGGAUGGAGCUGAAAUCAGUCGAAGAUACCAGCUGGCUGCAACUGUUUAUUAAAAACACAGCACUGUGCAAACACGAAAGUGGACGUAUACGGUGUGACGCC